rnacentral:rRNA from 1 species
CAAAAACAUAGCUACGUGUGGACAUUCGUAGUAAUUUCUGCUCAAUGGAUAUUAAAUAGCCGCAGUACCUUGACUGUGCAAAGGUAGCGUAAUAAUUUGACUUUUAAAUGAAGUCCAGUAUGAAGGGAUACUUGAGGAGCAGCUUUAUCUUUAAUAUUUAAUGAAAUUACCUUAUAAGUGCCAAACCUUAUACCAAAAUGAUAGACGAGAAGACCCUAGAAAUUUUAAUAAUAUUGUUAGAUUUUUUUUUGUUGGGGCAACAAAGUAACAUUUAAUUUACUGUUUUAGACAUGAACAUUCUUGUGAAAGAGUAAAUUACUCUAGGGAUAACAGCGUAAUUAAUUAAAGAUUGCGACCUCGAUGUUGGACUAGGAAACUAUUGCUUAGAAGGUACCAUGUUAAGCUCUGUUCGAGC